UACGUAGGGUGCAAGCGUUGUCCGGAAUUAUUGGGCGUAAAGAGCUCGUAGGCGGUCUGUCGCGUCGGAUGUGAAAAUCCAGGGCUCAACCCUGGAACUGCAUUCGAUACGGGCAGACUAGAGUUCGGUAGGGGAGAGUGGAAUUCCUGGUGUAGCGGUGAAAUGCGCAGAUAUCAGGAGGAACACCGGUGGCGAAGGCGGAUCUCUGGGCCGAAACUGACGCUGAGGAGCGAAAGCGUGGGGAGCGAACAGG
rnacentral:rRNA from 1 species